UUUCCGUAGGUGAACCUGCGGAAGGAUCAUUCAUAAUAAGUGUUUUAUGGCACUUUUUUAAAUCCAUAUCCACCUUGUGUGCAAUGUCAGGGUUGAUUUUUCUCUCGAGAGGAUCAACCCCAAACAUCAACUAUAUCUCAACUCUUUGUCUGAAGAAUAUUAUGAAUAAAACAAUUCAAAAUACAACUUUCAACAACGGAUCUCUUGGCUCUC
rnacentral:misc_RNA from 1 species